GGAGGCUGCGGAGGUGGGGGAGACCGGCAGGCACCUGCCCCGACUGUGCCUGUGACAAGCCCCUCCUCCGGCAGCAAUAAACGCACGGCUGGGCCUUGGCGGCCUCCUCUGGCCCGGUGACAGUCUCACGCCUCCGGGGCGCUGGCUCGUCAGGCAGCCGCUGGGGGUACUCGGCAGGAGCCUCAAAUGCCACCUACUCCCCGGCCUCUCUCCCAGUUGAUGCUGCUAUUUUAGGCACCACAUUAUUUCCUGCUGUGAUUUUUUCAGCCUUCUAAUUCGGGCUCUGAGCAUGGUUCCCUCUUAAGCUGGAAAACAGUUGGAAUGUGGCAUUGCCUGGAACGUGUGGAAGCUGACUACCAUGAUACAACAAGGACUCCUUCCUGGGGAAAAAGGCAAAGGCUUUGGACCCCAACAGAUCUUGGUUUGAAUCUAGACUCCUCCACUUCCUAGCCCUGUGGCUUUAGACAAACUGACUUUACCUUUCUGAUGUGGUGAAGCAGAAACGGCCCCAACUUGAAGAGGAGGUUUGAACCCAAUCUCCCAACUGCAAGAUCCAUUCAGACUUCUUUCUCCUCCCUCUGAUGAAGAUAAAAGAAUGCUUCUCUCUUGGGGUUAAGAGGACUAAAUGAAGUAAUCUAUGUAAAAAAUAUGGUACCUGCCAAGAACUUGUUCGUGUACUCUAUAAAUGUAUGUUGCUAAGAGUCCAGCAGUGAUAAACACAAUGGAAUCCUUGCCCUUGUGUAACUUAUACUCCAUCCAGAAAGAUGGAAAAUAAAUGACACACAACACAGGCAGACAUACUUACAAAGAGCUGCAAAUUCUAGAAGGGUGAUGGAGAGUGACAGGAGAGGUAGGGCACCCUACCAUAAAUAAUACGGUCAGGAAAAUGACAUUUAAACUGAGACACUGAAGGAGGGAGGGAGGGGUCAACAAUCUAGGCAGUGGGAACAGCAGGAACAAAGGCACAGGGGACAGGGGGCAAGAGGUAGGUGCACGUAAGGAACUGUUAACCACCUCUUCUGCUAACCCACCUUGUAACUCCUUGUAUGUACUUCAAGAGACAGGGCAGCACAGCACUUAGUAGGGACUGGACUCCCAGGAAGUGUAUGAUGAAUGAACAAGAGAAUGGCUGAGCUCUCGUUCCAAUGUUUGCCCAUGAAGAGAUCCCCCUCUUCCAGCCCUUUAACCUUCUGAUGUGGAAGGAAGGAGCCUUCUGAACUGGCAGUCCACAGUUCUUUCCUCGGCGCAAUUUGCCUAGAGCUCAGAGCUAGAGGGUCCCCCCAAAACCCACCCUUCCUGUUAAAGGGAAGAAGCAGAGGCCAAGACUCAGGACAGCUUUGUUGAAGCCCCUGGACCUGGUGGGGCCCAUGUCUAGUGCUUUCCCCAGGCCAGAGCCUGUCUUGUUUAUUUGUUCAGCAGGUUUAUUUCAGCCAUGGCACAGCCUGUUCUGACGCUGGAACAUUUCUGAGAUGAGCCAAUUUUUUAAAAUCAUAGAAAAUAAAUGGUUUGCUCUUGGAACUAAGGGGUGGGGCAGCCAGAAUGGGAGACAGGUUUCAAGGCCAGCUCUGGGGCAGAAUUUUGGUUUACCCUUUGCUAUAUUCUUUUCCCCUUCUGCCCUUGAGAACCAAAGGGACUUCAAUGGGAUUUCCUGCCUCCAUUUCUCAAGACGAUGAUUAGAAAAACUGGAACAUUUAACCAUAAGAUUUCCGGUUCUCAUCUCCACCCUCAUCAGUUCUAUUCUAAACUCUGGUUUCUAAACCAUCAAGCUCAGAGCUGGGAAUGUAGUUCAGUAGCAGAGCCUUUGCCUAGCAUGUGCAAAGCUUUGGGUUUGAUCGCCAGUACAAAAUACACAGAAUGUUCAAAGCCACUGAACUCAAGACAUAGCCCAACACAACCCAUCAAUCUUGGGACAGGUUUUGGGACUAGCACCUGGAUCAUUCUGUUCCCUCUGCCUGUAGGAUUACAUAUGUACCCCCGCACUAAGCCUGGCUUGCCACCUACUUUUUUAAAUAGCUGGCAAGUUCAGUGAAGACAAACAGAACAGUUAAAAUUGCUUUGCUUUCUGACUGGAUAUUAACUAAGUGUAGUAAUAUCAGUCAUUAGCUUGUAUUGAUCUGAAACAUUUAUUUGUAGUUAUGUAAAUAUUUGAUUACCCAAAACCUGGAAAUUAAUAAUUAAUAAAACAAAAUUAUCCGGCCAACAAAAUUAUUUAAACCUUAAUUAAGCCCAGAGUAACAGAUGGGGUGGGAUAAAGGGAUCCUGGUGGUAAAAAAGGCGACUCCAAAGUUCUGCCUGGCCUUUUGCCUGCCUUGUUUCCCCAACAGGGCUGGUACAUAGUAAGUACUUUCAAAAUACUCACUGAGUGUGCGAGUGCAUGAGGAUGAUGGUGCUCCUGGGGCACUGAAGCCUUGUGAACCCUAGUUGGCUAUCCCAUAAGGACCAAGCUAAGAACCAAUUUGGCAGCUGUCCCAGCCCCAGGCUCUUUCUCCCUAAUGGGGCAACAUGCCCAUUCUUAGCACUCAACUCAGGAGUAUUAAGAUCGAUGAGAAUGUGGGAAUAGACCAUAUGUACUGGAGCCCCUCCAAGGGGCAGGGGCAGCCCAGAUUCUGAUGCCCCUCUGGUGCCCUCUGCCCCUUUGCUCAAAGAAACUCUCAAGAAGCAGUCUGGCCCGCUGCAGGAGAUGCUGUUCUUCACUUCCCAGAUUAGCUCAGACCUUAAAAAUCACAGCCCAGU